rnacentral:snRNA from 1 species
GGAUGUGAGGAUGAUAUGGCUGUGACAUCUGUCACCCCAAUGAUUGCCAGGGUUGAUUCAGCUGAUCUGGCUGGCUAGGUGGGUGUCCCCUUCCUCCUCAACACUGCAUGAGUAUCCCUCCCAAAACUGAGCACUCCGUCGAAGAGGAUGACCACUCCCGAUAGAGGAGGACCUUUUUUUUUUUCGGUCAAAAGUAUAGGAGUAGCUCCACUACCUUGCUGGAACCUCCAAACAAGCUCUCAAAAAGAAUAAGAUUAUAAAUGUGACUGAAUUAAAACAUUAAAACUUCUGUGGCCCAAAGAUAUCAUUA